AUGAGAAUUUUAGUUUUUGUGCUCUUUGUAAGUGUGAUCGCGUUUGCUUGUGCGCAGGAUUGCAAAGUUGGCGGGAAAAAGUGUGUUGACCAUGAGCAAUGCUGUGGCGGAUGCUGUUUCUACGGAGAAUGUAUUGACACUUACAGAACCUGUUAUUCUUCCACGGACGUGUGUGAGGACCACUACUGCAGGGGGGAUGAAGAGUGCGUUGUGUACAUGCCACCGCAGUGCCCGGGAUGCGUGCCUCUACCGCUGUGCAUAAACCCUUAUUUAAGCUAAAUAAUCAUCAAGAAAUAACGACAGUAGUUUUAAUAAUGGAAUUGGAACUGUCUGACGUCUGCCACCGUGUCUUAAAGUAAGAGACAGAGUUACGCGGGGUGUAGUGCGCUGUCUCGCUUUUAUAACUAGUCUUACUUUAAGAGAUGGUUCACCUUUUCAAUGCUUAAGAAAUCUGUUGUAAAUAAUAAAAUAUUAAUUAAGAUAUGAUGA